AGCCUCUGACCAAAGCCAUACGAUUCUAGAUGCAAUAACAAAAAAUACUCCAGCACAUCAUUAUUGCAUAUAUCUUUAGAGUCUCACCACAUAGAUCUACAAGGUCAGAUGGAGCACACUUUUCAAAGAAUUGACAUAAGGUGUUAAACAAGAAACAAAUGGAACAAAUAAGCAGUGACUUGAUAAGAAAGAAAUUACACGGCAAACCAUGCAGAUUCACAUUCGGUUGAAUAGAAGGUUCAAUCUGCCUGCAGAUUAGGUGCAAGAAUCCCAUUAAGAAUAGGAAAAACUUAAUGAUCAUAUAAAAAAUUGGAAAGAAAACAAGCAGAGUUCUCCAAACCAAAGACGUAGAUUAUCCAAACAAAGACCAUAAGAGAUUGAAACAAACACUUCAUAUACACACAUAGACAGAGAAGAACAAGAAGAUCCGUAUCGUAAGUAACAAACCUAGGUCAAAACAGAACAACAAAACAAAUGAAAAUUUCAAGAGUUUUUUGAGAGGAUAAAAUUCAUGUCACCGAAUUAUGCAGUUGUCUUCAAUAACUGCAUUAGGCGAAAUAGUUAGCUGGCACCAACUGCAAAACGAACAGCUACAUGAUUGAAUCUGAAGCCAUCACAAGCGAUAAAAGAAUCAAGAAAGAAAAACUCAUCAAUAAAAUUUAGUUACUGGUCCUGAACCCCUUAGCC
rnacentral:lncRNA from 1 species